rnacentral:rRNA from 1 species
GCUGGCGGAUGCUUACACAUGCAAGUCGAACGGCAGCGCGGGGCACUGAGGUGGCGAGUUGGCGAACGGGUGAGUAAUAUAUCGGAACGUGCCCUGGAGUGGGGGAUAACGCAGCGAAAGUUGCGCUAAUACCGCAUACGAUCUAAGGAUGAAAGUGGGGGAUUCGCAAGAACCUCAUGCUCCUGGAGCGGCCGAUAUCUGAUUAGCUAGUUGGUGGGGUAAAGGCCUACCAAGGCAUCGAUCAGUAGCUGGUCUGAGAGGACGACCAGCACACUGGAACUGAGACACGGUCCAGACUCCUACGGGAGGCAGCAGUGGGGAAUUUUGGACAAUGGGGGCAACCCUGAUCCAGCAAUGCCGCGUGAGUGAUGAAGGCCUUAGGGUUGUAAAGCUCUUUUGCCAGGGACGAUGAUGACGGUACCUUGGAGAAUAAGCCCCGGUAAACUUCGUGCCAGCAAGCCGCGGUAAUACGAAGGGGGCUAGCGU